rnacentral:rRNA from 1 species
CGUUAGCGGCGGACGGGUGAGUAACGCGUGGACAACCUGCCCUAUGCAGGGGGAUAACAUCCGGAAACGGGUGCUAAUACCGCAUAAGCGCACAGUACCGCAUGGUACGGUGUGAAAAGCUGAGGCGGCAUAGGAUGGGUCCGCGUUGGAUUAGGCAGUUGGCGGGGUAACGGCCCACCAAACCAACGAUCCGUAGCCGGCCUGAGAGGGUGGACGGCCACAUUGGGACUGAGACACGGCCCAGACUCCUACGGGAGGCAGCAG